AGUAAACACUAAUUUUUCAGUUAAAGUCAUUUCAUUGUCGAUUCAGUGAUGUCAUCGUGCAGCUCAGUUCAGUUUGCUUCCAAUAGUGUCUAUGGAA